CACAAAUACACACAUACAAUCUCUCUCUAUCUCUACACUCUUUCUCACUCUAACUAUCCACCACACAACCACCCAACCACCACCCACUUGCCACCACCACCCAUCUCUCCCACCGCACCACCCGCAUCCCCAACUAAACAGAAUAACAAAUACCUUAAUAUCCUCAUUAAAAACUCCAUAAUCUUGGACACAUAAAGCCUCGUUCCAGUUUCAAUUCUAGAAGCCCUGCCACCAGGUCCAAAACUCAGAUCCACACCACCUAACAUAUCAUGAUUCUAAGCAGCAGGAGCAACAUCCGUUGCCUAAAUCAGAUGCACAAAACCUUUACAAACAUCUACAACAUUCCACCCAAUUCAACCAUUAAAUCAACCUAAUCAAACUAACUAAUCAACCUUAGUUGUGCCAUAAGGAGUAGAUCUGUUAACAUCGCGGUUGUUGAAGCGAUGUGCAGGUCCCGGUCCAGAUGCUGGACCACGGUCGCGGCCGUCACUGUCGCCGGACUUCUUGUUUCUCUUGAUUAGGUCGCUGAGUGACAUAUCUAAAGCAGCAUCGGCCAUGAUUAGGUGGAUAAAAGGUGGUAUGUUGAGCGAAUCUGUGGCUGCAGAUGAGAUGAUUGAAGGUGGUGGUGGUUGGAGAGGUGGGUGGUGGAUCUGGAAGAACGAUGGAGGAUAAGAGAGAGUGGUGGUUUGACGGCGCAUCUAGAUCUCCGAUGACGGCGGCGGAGGUGCGGUGGUGGAGGUGUUGAUGGUGGUGGAGGUUGUGCUGCAGGAGUGGAGUGGUGGAGGUGCGGUGGUGACAGUAGAGGUGUGGCGGUGAUGGUGUGUAGAUGGUGCUGGGUGUGUAUGUGUGACUGUGUGAGAGAGAGGAUGAAGGAGAGCUAUUGUCAUUGAUGUAUAUGUAAUAUAUUUUUUUUAAACAUGAUUAUUUGUUUAGGGUAAAAUGUCUAAAAUACCCUCAUGUAGGAUCAACCUGGUCAGAUUUAACUAUAAAAACUAAGCCAGUUAGGGCUAAAGGACAUAACACGCAAGGGUUUGCAAAUAUUGAGUACUGUUCUUGUAUAUAUUGAAGACAAAGGACAUGAUUUGCAAUAACAUACAUACAUAAAGGACGAGUUUUGUAAUUUACUCAUUAAAUUAUAUAGAUGGAGAUAGUGAUUUUGAU
rnacentral:lncRNA from 1 species